UACGUAGAGGGCAAGCGUUGUCCGGAAUUAUUGGGCGUAAAGCGCGCGCAGGCGGUCCUUUAAGUCUGAUGUGAAAGCCCACGGCUUAACCGUGGAGGGUCAUUGGAAACUGAGGGACUUGAGUACAGAAGAGGAGAGUGGAAUUCCACGUGUAGCGGUGAAAUGCGUAGGGAUGUGGAGGAACACCAGUGGCGAAGGCGACUCUCUGGUCUGUAACUGACGCUGAGGUGCGAAAGCGUGGGUAGCAAACAGGAUUAGAUACCCUGGUA
rnacentral:rRNA from 1 species